rnacentral:rRNA from 1 species
GACGAACGCUGGCGGCGUGCUUAACACAUGCAAGUCGAGCGGAAAGGCCCUUCGGGGUACUCGAGCGGCGAACGGGUGAGUAACACGUGAGUAACCUGCCCCAGACUUUGGGAUAACCCUCGGAAACGGGGGCUAAUACCGGAUACGACACAGCUUCGCAUGGGGUCUGUGUGGAAAGUUUUUCGGUUUGGGGUGGGCUCGCGGCCUAUCAGCUUGUUGGUGGGGUGAUGGCCUACCAAGGCGACGACGGGUAGCCGGCCUGAGAGGGCGACCGGCCACACUGGGACUGAGACACGGCCCAGACUCCUACGGGAGGCAGCAGUGGGGAAUAUUGCACAAUGGGCGGAAGCCUGAUGCAGCGACGCCGCGUGAGGGAUGACGGCCUUCGGGUUGUAAACCUCUUUCAGCAGGGACGAAGCGUAAGUGACGGUACCUGCAGAAGAAGCGCCGGCCAACUACGUG